rnacentral:rRNA from 1 species
GAUGAACGCUGGCGGCGUGCUUAACACAUGCAAGUCGAACGGGAAUUAUUUUAUUGAAACUUCGGUCGAUUUAAUUUAAUUCUAGUGGCGGACGGGUGAGUAACGCGUGGGUAACCUGCCUUAUACAGGGGGAUAACAGUCAGAAAUGACUGCUAAUACCGCAUAAGCGCACAGGACCGCAUGGUCCGGUGUGAAAAACUCCGGUGGUAUAAGAUGGACCCGCGUUGGAUUAGCUGGUUGGUGGGGUAACGGCCCACCAAGGCGACGAUCCAUAGCCGGCCUGAGAGGGUGAACGGCCACAUUGGGACUGAGACACGGCCCAGACUCCUACGGGAGGCAGCAGUGGGGAAUAUUGCACAAUGGGGGAAACCCUGAUGCAGCGACGCCGCGUGAAGGAAGAAGUAUCUCGGUAUGUAAACUUCUAUCAGCAGGGAAGAUAGUGACGGUACCUGACUAAGAAGCCCCGGCUAACUACGUGCCAGCAGCCGCAGUAA